AGGCAGCAGUGGGGAAUAUUGCACAAUGGGGGAAACCAUGAUGCAGCGUCGCCGCGUGGAGGAAGAAGGUCUUCGGAUUGUAAACUCCUGUUGUUGGGGAAGAUAAUGACGGUACCCAUCAAGGAAGUGACGGCUAACUACGUGCCAGCAGCCGCGGUAAAACGUAGGUCACAAGCGUUGUCCGUGAAUUACUGGGUGUAAAGGGAGCGCAGGCGGGAAGACAAGUUGGAAGUGAAAUAUAUGGGCUCAACCCAUAAACUGCUUUUAAAACUGUUUUUCUUGAGUAGUGCAGAGGUAGGCGGAAUUCCUGGUGUAGCGGUGGAAUGAGUAGAUAUCGGGAGGAACACCAGUGGCGAAGGCGGCGUACUUGGCAUCAACUGUCGCUGAGGCUAGAAAGUGUGGGUAGCAAACAGGAUUAGAUACCUUGGUAGUCCACACCGUAAACGAUGAAUAGAUAGGUGUUGGAGGAUUGACCCCUUCAGUGGCGCAGUUAACACAAUAAGUUAUCCACCUGGGGAGUGCGACCGCAAGGGUGAAACUCAAAAGAAUUGACGGGGGCCCGCACACGCAGUGGAGUAUGUGGUUUAAUUAGGCGCAACGCGAAGCACCUUCCCACGUCUUGACAUCCCUCGGCGAUGCUGGAAACAGUAUUUCUGUUUGGAGCAAGGAGACAGGUGGUGCAUGGUUGUCGUCAGCUCGCGUCGUGAGAUGGUGGGGUAAGUCCCGCAACGAGCGCCACCCUUAUGGUCAGUUACUACGCGAGAGGACUUUGUCCCGACUGCCGUUGGCAAAACGGAGGAAGGUGGGGGGGGCGUCAAAUCAUCCUGCCCCCUAUGACUUGGGGUACCCCCGUACUACAAAGGCGGUAAACAAAGAGAAGCAAGACCGCGAGGGGGAGCAAAACUCAGAAACAACGUCCCAGUUCGGACUGCAGGCUGCAACUCGCCUGCACGAAGUCGGAAUUGCUAGUAAUCGUGGAUCAGCAUGCCACGGUGAAUACAAUCCCGGGCCUUGCACA
rnacentral:rRNA from 1 species